CUCUCUUCCAAUCCAUGUUAUUUAAAAACCUGAAAAAAAUUACUUUCAUCCUAGACGCAAAUCCAGAUCUCCUUCCCCUAGAAGACGAUCUUCCCCUGUCAGGAGAGAGAGAAAGCGCAGUCAUUCUCGAUCUCCCCGUCACAGAACCAAGAGCCGGAGUCCUUCCCCUGCUCCAGAAAAGAAGGAAAAAACUCCAGAGCUCCCAGAACCUUCAGUGAAAGUAAAAGAACCUUCAGUACAAGAGGCUACUUCUACUAGUGACAUUCUGAAAGUUCCCAAACCUGAACCUAUACCAGAGCCUAAAGAACCUUCUCCGGAAAAAAAUUCCAAAAAAGAAAAGGAGAAGGAGAAGACCCGACCACGAUCUCGGUCACGCUCCAAAUCAAGAUCCCGGACGCGGUCCCGCUCUCCUUCUCACACUCGACCUAGACGGCGCCAUAGAUCCCGAUCAAGAUCGUAUUCACCUAGAAGGCGGCCAAGCCCAAGAAGGCGGCCAUCUCCUCGAAGAAGAACUCCGCCAAGAAGAAUGCCUCCUCCACCAAGGCACAGAAGGAGUAGAUCUCCAGUAAGACGGUUCUCAGGAAUUCUUCCGCCAAAGGUGAAUUCUGCAGAAGAAGACGUUCGUCAGCAUCCUUGUCUGGGAGUAGCUCAUCAUCCUCUUCAUCUCGUUCACGGUCACCACCAAAGAAGCCUCCCAAGAGGACAUCCAGCCCCCCUCGGAAAACUCGUAGGUUAUCUCCUUCAGCAAGUCCUCCAAGGCGAAGGCACAGGCCAUCACCUCCUGCAACUCCACCACCCAAAACUCGGCAUUCCCCUACACCCCAGCAGUCAAACCGUACAAGAAAAAGUCGUGUUUCUGUGUCUCCAGGGAGAACUUCAGGUAAAGUGACAAAACAUAAAGGUACUGAGAAAAGAGAAUCCCCUUCACCAGCACCGAAGCCUAGAAAAGUAGAGUUAUCUGAAUCGGAAGAUAAAGGUGGCAAAAUGGCUGCAGCAGAUUCUGUGCAGCAGAGACGCCAAUACAGACGACAAAACCAGCAGUCUUCAUCUGACUCUGGCUCCUCCUCCUCCUCAGAAGAUGAACGACCCAAGAGAUCCCAUGUGAAGAAUGGUGAGGUUGGCAGGCGGCGGAGACAUUCCCCUUCCCGGAGUGCUUCUCCAUCACCACGAAAGCGCCAAAAAGAGACUUCCCCUCGGAUGCAGAUGGGAAAGCGAUGGCAAUCGCCAGUGACUAAAAGUGGUAGACGGAGGAGAAGUCCAUCCCCACCACCCACCAGAAGGCGACGGUCUCCUUCUCCCGCCCCUCCUCCUCGACGGCGCAGGACUCCCACACCACCACCACGACGAAGGACUCCUUCUCCUCCCCCACGUCGGCGCUCACCUUCUCCUAGAAGAUACUCUCCUCCAAUACAGAGGAGAUACUCUCCUUCUCCACCUCCAAAGAGAAGAACGGCUUCACCUCCUCCCCCUCCUAAACGAAGAGCAUCACCAUCUCCACCACCAAAGCGGCGGGUCUCCCAUUCUCCACCUCCCAAACAAAGAAGCUCCCCAGUCACCAAGAGACGUUCACCUUCAUUAUCAUCCAAGCAUAGGAAAGGGUCUUCCCCAAGCCGCUCUACCAGGGAGGCCCGAUCACCACAACCAAACAAACGGCAUUCGCCCUCACCACGGCCUCGAGCUCCUCAGACCUCCUCAAGUCCUCCACCCGUUCGAAGAGGAGCGUCGUCAUCACCCCAAAGAAGGCAGUCCCCGUCUCCAAGUACUAGGCCCAUUAGGAGAGUCUCCAGGACUCCGGAACCUAAAAAGAUAAAAAAGGCUGCUUCCCCAAGCCCACAGUCUGUAAGGAGGGUCUCAUCCUCCCGAUCUGUCUCCGGGUCUCCUGAGCCAGCAGCUAAAAAGCCCCCAGCACCUCCAUCCCCCGUCCAGUCUCAGUCACCGUCUACAAACUGGUCACCAGCUGUACCGGUCAAAAAGGCCAAAAGCCCAACACCGAGCCCAUCACCGCCAAGAAAUUCAGAUCAGGAGGGAGGUGGAAAGAAAAAGAAGAAAAAGAAGGACAAGAAACACAAAAAGGAUAAGAAGCACAAGAAGCACAAAAAACACAAGAAGGAAAAGGCUGUGGCUGCAGCUGCUGCAGCUGCUGUGACCCCUGCAGCCAUUGCAGCUGCCACAACCACAUUAGCACAGGAAGAGCCAGUGGCAGCGCCAGAGCCGAAGAAGGAGACUGAAAGUGAAGCUGAAGAUAACCUUGAUGAUUUAGAAAAGCACCUGCGUGAAAAGGCCCUGAGAUCAAUGAGGAAGGCCCAAGUGUCCCCACAGUCUUAGGGGGAAAUGUUUGUUAUGAUGUAAAUUUUAUUUGGUUUGUACGCAGUUCAAUUUCAAAAUUGCUAAAAUGUGUUUGAGCUUUAGACUAUAACAUUUGUUGUAAUAAUUGCUAGGUUGAAGUUCAACAUGUAAAAAAAGGGGGCAUGGAUUUACAUUGCAAAAGGUGUCCACAGUGUAUUAGUGACAUUCUUUCAUUGACAGCUGACAUAAUUCAUUGAGUGAAAUAUUUUAAGCCAAAAAAAAUUCCCUUUUUAAAAAAGGGGGUUUAAAUACUGUUGGCAUUUUUAUGGUUCCUUUAAAUGCCCUGGCUAUUCCCAGAGGGGUUUUUUGUUUGUUUUUUUGGUUUUGAUUUUGUUUUUGUUUUUCUUUCUUCUUAUUUUUUUCAUUUGAGUCUUAGCUCCCAUUUAAGUUAUGCUUCUGACCUUGUAUGGUCUGUAAGCUUGCCCAGAAAUAAGACCACUGUUUUGAACUACCACAAAAGUAUAAAUGAAUAUUUUAAUGCCACAAUCUUUCCUGUUGCCUGUGGAGUCUCUGCUGAAAUGAAUCAGGAUUCGAGCUCUAGGAUGAGACAGAAAAUGAAAGCAUGUUGUUUGCCAGGACACUGUGGGUUUAUAUUGAUGUGUAACAAGUUGAUUUGGAACACUGGACUCUCAUUCUGUUCUUCUGGUUUUGUUUUUUUUGUUUUGUUUUUUUCUUUUGUAAAGGCAAUGAGCUAGUCCCAGAAAGGAUCCUUCAGUUACAUACAAUUUGUUUAAUGAAAUGUCAUGGCUCUGUUCAUAUUUUUGUCUUGUUCUUCCAAUUGGUACAUACAACUUUCAGAGCCUCUUGUAUUUGGAAGGCUGGAAGGGCGCAGACUUUGGAAUAGUGUCUUGGUUUCACUGUUUUUGUUUUGAUUUUUUUUUUUGAUUUUUUUUAAACUAAAGCUAUAUAAAGCUUGUGGAUUAAAC
rnacentral:lncRNA from 1 species